UAGGGAAUCUUCGGCAAUGGACGAAAGUCUGACCGAGCAACGCCGCGUGAGUGAAGAAGGUUUUCGGAUCGUAAAACUCUGUUGUUAGAGAAGAACAAGGACGUUAGUAACUGAACGUCCCCUGACGGUAUCUAACCAGAAAGCCACGGCUAACUACGUGCCAGCAGCCGCGGUAAUACGUAGGUGGCAAGCGUUGUCCGGAUUUAUUGGGCGUAAAGCGAGCGCAGGCGGUUACUUAAGUCUGAUGUGAAAGCCCCCGGCUCAACCGGGGAGGGUCAUUGGAAACUGGGAGACUUGAGUGCAGAAGAGGAGAGUGGAAUUCCAUGUGUAGCGGUGAAAUGCGUAGAUAUAUGGAGGAACACCAGUGGCGAAGGCGGCUCACUGGUCUGUAACUGACGCUGAGGCUCGAAAGCGUGGGGAGCAAACAGG
rnacentral:rRNA from 1 species